rnacentral:sRNA from 1 species
AUGUUCAAAGUCUAAAGCAUAUUUUUCAAGAAAAUUGAAAAUUCUUAUACAUAAACAGAUAAUACAACCUGAAACUAGAACAAGAAAUGGAGUAGAUA